rnacentral:rRNA from 1 species
GAUGAACGCUGACAGAAUGCUUAACACAUGCAAGUCAACUUGAACUUCGGUUUGGGUGGCGGACGGGUGAGUAACGCGUAAAGAACUUGCCUCACAGUUAGGGACAACAUUUGGAAACGAAUGCUAAUACCUGAUAUUAUGAUUUUAGGGCAUCCUAGAAUUAUGAAAGCUAUAUGCGCUGUGAGAGAGCUUUGCGUCCCAUUAGCUAGUUGGAGAGGUAACGGCUCACCAAGGCGAUGAUGGGUAGCCGGCCUGAGAGGGUGAACGGCCACAAGGGGACUGAGACACGGCCCUUACUCCUACGGGAGGCAGCGGUGGGGAAUAUUGGACAAUGGACCAAGAGUCUGAUCCAGCAAUUCUGUGUGCACGAUGAAGUUUUUCGGAAUGUAAAGUGCUUUCAGUUGGGAAGAAAAAAAUGACGGUACCAACAGAAGAAGUGACGGCUAAAUACGUGCCAGCAGCCGCGGUAAUACGUAUGUCACAAGCGUUAUCCGGAUUUAUUGGGCGUAAAGCGCGUCUAGGUGGUUAUGUAAGUCUGAUGUGAAAAUGCAGGGCUCAACUCUGUAUUGCGUUGGAAACUGUGUAACUAGAGUACUGGAGAGGUAAGCGGAACUACAAGUGUAGAGGUGAAAUUCGUAGAUAUUUGUAGGAAUGCCGAUGGGGAAGCCAGCUUACUGGACAGAUACUGACGCUAAAGCGCGAAAGCGUGGGUAGCAAACAGG